UACCAGCUCUCCGAGUGGUAGGGAUGAUUAUUGGGCUUAAAGCGUCCGUAGCCGGCUUGGCGAGUCUCCUGUUAAAUUCAGCGACCUAAUCGUUGACCCGCGGGAGAUACUACUAGGCUAGGAGGCGGGAGAGGCCGACGGUACUUCCGGGGUAGGGGUGAAAUCCUAUAAUCCCGGGAGGACCACCAGUGGCGAAGGCUGUCGGCUAGAACGCGCUCGACGGUGAGGGACGAAAGCUGGGGUAGCGAACCGGAUUAGAUACCCGGGUAGCCCCAGCUGUAAACUAUGCGGGCUAGGUGUUGGGGUGGCUACGAGCCACUUCGGUGCCGCAGGUAAGCCAUUAAGCCCGCCGCCUGGGGAGUAAGGCCGCAAGGCUGAAACUUAAGGAAUUGGCGGGGAGCACCACAAGGCGUGAAGCUUGCGGUUC
rnacentral:rRNA from 1 species